rnacentral:misc_RNA from 1 species
GAUGAAGAACGUAGCGAAAUGCGAUAAGUAGUGUUAAUUGCAGAAUUCAGUGAAUCAUCGAAUCUUUGAACGCACAUUGCGCCCCUUGGUAUCCCGAGGGGCAUGCCUGUUCGAGCGUCAUUUCACCACUCAAGCCUGGCUUGGUGUUGGGCGACGUCCCCUUUGGGGACGCGCCUCGAAACGCUCGGCGGCGUGGCACCGGCUUUAAGCGUAGCAGAAUCUUUCGCUUUGGAAGUCGGGGCCCCGUCUGCCGGAAGACCUACUCGCAAGGUUGACCUCGGAUCAGGCAGGGAUACCCGCUGAACUUAAGCAUAUCAAUAAGCGGAGGA